rnacentral:misc_RNA from 1 species
AAAUUCACUUUGUAGACCGAGACGAAUCCAUGGUCAGGGCGAUACAGGAAAUAUUUCAACUGCCAGAAAAUCGCCAAUAAAUAAAAUUACUUUACCAAGUAUCUAAUAGAGAGAGUUAUACAUGUAUACCUUUAUAAUCUAAAAAGCGCAAAUGUAUUUAUUGCAUGAUACCAUAAAAAUGUAUUUAUGUUUUCUGAUCAGUUUUUCCUCAAGUAUUUUUAAGUAGAUUUGAAAACCAAGGAUUGAAAAAAAAUUAUGGAUUUUUUUUAGAAUUUAGUAUUUUUGUAUUGUAUUUCAAAUGCAUUUCCCAUGGUAAGUAGUACGUUGUAACCUAGUGUUAAUAUUAAUUGCUUUGUUAGUCAGUUCAUUAAUGCCAACGUAUGUAAAACCCAAACCCGUUGGAUACAUUUUUUUAAAGAUUGCAUUUAUUUUGUACAUUUUUUUCUUAAUAUGUUUUGCCACUCAUUUUUUAAUCGCCAUGUCCUUGACCAUUUGCUUUACUUUUUCUAUAUCAUUGUGCAUUUUUAUAUAAGUUUAAACUUGUUUUUAAAAAAACAAACCAAAAAAACAAAAACAAAAAAAACCACAUUAUUUUGUUUUUAUGAUGACACGUUUUCUUUUUUUAGAAAUGACACUAAUAAUAUUUUUUUUGCAGGAUACUAGUAUUACUUUUUAUGUCCAACUGUCUUCUGUAAUAAAAGCUUCCACUUUC